rnacentral:lncRNA from 1 species
GGGACUAUUGGUGUGUUUAACUUUAAACACCUGUGUAAAUGUUUAAAGGCUCAGGGCCUAGGCCUGGUCCCUUGCCUCAACUCAAAGAGAAUUUGUCCAAUGUGCCAGGUAAAAGAAUGGUCAGCAGCGUUUGGAAACAGAAUACUGGAACUGACUCCUAAGCGGGAAAUCAGGACAUGGACGUGACUUCUUUACUGUCAGCAAUUCCCUGUCAAUAAAUAGAGGACUGCUGCGAUUUUUCAGAGGAGCUGAGGGGAGGGGAAAAUCCAGCCCUGAUUUCAGACAGGCACAGACCCUCUUACGCUCCGCGCCAUAUGCUUCAGCGUGUGGAAAUGGAACUUUUGCAACAUGUGCUUGGAUCAUCAUCAUCGGAAGCGUGCUACAUAUCUCAGGGGAAGAGACUAGAUUGUGCUGUUCAUAACAAGGGCCUUUGCUCUAACAUAUAACACGGCUGCCUUUGCAUUUCUGAUUUGUGUGUGUAAAACACGUGUGUGUGUACCCUUUCACAAACCCCCUCAACAGAAUUGUAUAGUUUAUGUUGGCUAAAAACAUAACAUAACAGGGAUUAUCUAUCUAUCUAUCUAUUCCCAUACACCCCCUCUAUCUAUCUAUCUAUCUAUCUAUCUAUCUAUCUAUCUAUCUAUCUAUCUAUCU